rnacentral:lncRNA from 10 species
GAAGUGACUGUGUGUGCUGUCUAGGCUUCAGGAGACCGUGAUGUCUUCUGCUUUCCAGCCCCUGCCUCCUUCAUGGGAACAAGCCUGGGCUGCUCUGCUGGAGGAUGAUAGGUCACAUGGAGCCAAGAAAUUGCCAGAGCCACCCAGCCAUCAGCAACCACCACCCUGAUCAGUCAGCAGCCAUGAACGCUGAGGCAAGACCCUCUACCAGCAAAAACCCUCCACCUCAGUGGCAAAAAAACCUUGCCUCUGAGGCAAGACCCUCCACCACUUGCCAAAAGCUCAGAUGAUUAUUAGGAUGUUUACAAAAUAAAGU